GACUGGGCUCGCCUCACAACGACGCAGUCACGACUUAUUUAGUGAGAAGUCUGACUGCAAGUCCAGAUUUGGAGGCUGUGGAGACAGACGUCCUUGUAUCUGCUUGUAAAACCCAUUAUGAGACUCUGCGCAGGAAUUCCCGCUAUAGUCAACCCGACAUGGCGGAUCAGGCGGAGGCGAUUAAGUCAUCUGCCUGGAGUCGGCAGAGAAGAAAGAGACUGCUGGAUGCCAGGAAGACGGUCCUUGCUCCAGACGAACAGGAGUUCUGGAAUGGCAUCACAGCAGACAUGAUGUCGGAUGAGGAGGACGGGAGUGUAGAUGGCAUGCAUGGAUGGAUUGUGCGGCCUCCAUCCUUCCGCAGCCAGGAGCUUUCCAACUUGUGUGCUGCCCUACAGGCCAGGCUGGAAGCUGAUGGAAGGUACACAGCUCUUCAUCACAGACGUUUUUUUACAAUGGACAGCCGUCUGAAAGACUAAAGCCAUUGAAAUAUGACAGGGCAGCAGCCAGGAAACAUUAAAUUCCAGAGCUGAUGCCUGCGACCAGCCCGGAGUGACAUUCAACAAUGUUUUAGUUUUUGUUUUGAAAUUUAUAUUUUUUUUUUAAACUUUGCACUUUUUUAUUUCAUUUUUUCCUUUUAAUUUUUUU